UACGUAGGGGGCAAGCGUUACCCGGAUUUACUGGGCGUAAAGCGCGUGUAGGCGGCUGGCCAAGUGUGGUGUGAAAUCCCCCGGCUCAACCGGGGAACUGCAUUGCAAACUGGUCUGGCUAGAGUGCAGGAGAGGGAAGUGGAAGUUCCCGGUGUAGCGGUGAAAUGCGUAGAUAUCGGGAGGAACACCAGUGGCGAAGGCGGCUUCCGUGGCCUGCAACUGACGCUGAGACGCGAAAGCGUGGGGAGCGAACCGG
rnacentral:rRNA from 1 species